GAGAGAUCAUAAGGGAGCUGACUGCAAACCUGCCGUCAUCGACUUCAAGGUUCGACUCGAGCAAUAGUGAGAGAACGUUGCCGCAGGCAACGGCCCGAAGGGUGAGGAGCUUUAGCUCCGAAUAAUCCUUCCCGCUAUAGAA
rnacentral:sRNA from 3 species